GACGAACGCUGGCGGCGUGCUUAACACAUGCAAGUCGAACGGAAAGGCCUUUUCGGCGGUACUCGAGUGGCGAACGGGUGAGUAACACGUGGGUGAUCUGCCCUGCACUCUGGGAUAAGCCUGGGAAACUGGGUCUAAUACCGGAUAGGACCGCACUUUAGUGUGUGUGGUGGAAAGUUUUUUCGGUGUAGGAUGAGCCCGCGGCCUAUCAGCUUGUUGGUGGGGUAAUGGCCUACCAAGGCGGCGACGGGUAGCCGGACUGAGAGGUUGGUCGGCCACAGUGGGACUGAGAGACGGCCCAGACGCCUACGGGAGGCAGCAGGGGGGAAUAUUGCACAAGGGGCGCAAGCCUGAUGCAGCGACGCCGCGGGGGGGAGGACGGCCUUCGGGUUGUAAACGCCUUUCGCCAGGGACGAAGCGUUUUGUGACGGUACCUGGAGAAGAAGCACCGGCUAACUACGUG
rnacentral:rRNA from 1 species